rfam:Loxodonta africana unplaced genomic scaffold scaffold_72, whole genome shotgun sequence.
GCCCUGGUGGUACAAUGGUUAAGCACUUGGCUGCUAUCCAAAAGGUUGGUGGUUCGAACCCAUCCGGUAGCU